AGAUGAUGCCUAUCAACUGUUUAAAAGAUGGUUCUGCUAUCACUCUUGGAUGGACCUGCGGUGCAUUAGCUAGUUGGUAGGGGUAACGGCCUACCAAGGCGAUGAUGCAUAGCCGAGUUGAGAGACUGAUCGGCCACAUUGGGGACUGAGACACGGCCCAAACUCCUACGGGAGGCAGCAGUAGGGAAUCUUCCACAAUGGACGCAAGUCUGAUGGAGCAACGCCGCGUGAGUGAAGAAGGGCUUCGGCUCGUAAAGCUCUGUUGUUGGUGAAGAAGGACAGGGGGUAGUAACUGACCUUUGUUUGACGGUAAUCAAUUAGAAAGUCACGGCUAGCUACGUGCCAGCAGCCGCGGUAAAU
rnacentral:rRNA from 1 species